rnacentral:rRNA from 1 species
CCUACGGGAGGCAGCAGUGAGGAAUAUUGGUCAAUGGGCGCGAGCCUGAACCAGCCAAGUAGCGUGAAGGAUGACUGCCCUACGGGUUGUAAACUUCUUUUAUAUGGGAAUAAAAUGUUCCACGUGUGGGAUUUUGUAUGUACCAUAUGAAUAAGGAUCGGCUAACUCCGUGCCAGCAGCCGCGGUAAUACGGAGGAUCCGAGCGUUGUCCGGAUUUAUUGGGUUUAAAGGGAGCGUAGGUGGAUUGUUAAGUCAGUUGUGAAAGUUUGCGGCUAAACCGGAAAAUUGCAUUUGAAACUGGCAUUCUAGAGUACGAGAGAGGUAUGCGGAAUUCGUGGGGUAGCGGUGAAAUGCUUAGAUAUAACGAAGAACUCCGAUUGCGAAGGCAGUUCACUGGACGGAAACUGACGCUGAGGCUCGAAAGCGUGGGUAUCAAACAGGAUUAGAUACCCGAGUAGUC